rnacentral:rRNA from 1 species
AGUGAACGCUGGCGGUAGGCCUAACACAUGCAAGUCGAACGGCAGCACAGUAAGAGCUUGCUCUUACGGGUGGCGAGUGGCGGACGGGUGAGGAAUACAUCGGAAUCUACUUUUUCGUGGGUGAUAACGUAGGGAAACUUACGCUAAUACCGCAUACGACCUACGUGUGAAAGCAGGGGAUCUUCGGACCUUGCGCGAUUGAAUGAGCCGAUGUCGGAUUAGCUAGUUGGCGGGGUAAAGGCCCACCAAGGCGACGAUCCGUAGCUGGUCUGAGGGGAAGGUCAGACAGACUGGAAGUGAGACACGUCCCAGACUCUGACGGGGGGAAGCGGUGGAGAAUAUUGGACAAUGGGGGCAAGCCUGAUCCAGCCAUACCGCGGGGGUGAAGAAGGACUUCGGGUUGGAAAGCCCUUUUGUUGGGAAAGAAAAGCAGCAGGUUAAUACCCCGCUGUUCUGACGGGACCCAAAGAAUAAGCACCGGCUAACUUCGU